GGAACUUGUAGCAGAGAACUUUAUCUACUUCUCAACCUGCUUCAGAAUACUCAUUUGAGAUGUUCCCCUGGAAAGAUGAACACAAUACUGCAUCUGAAGCCAUUUCUUCCCACCUAACAUUCUUAAAAUGAUUAGAGUCUAAACUUUGUCAUUCAUUCCUAAUUCUGGAGCUCUGAGGUUGAGGUAUUCAGAAUUUGGUGAAUAAUUGGGUUUAAGUUUUAACAUUUUAGUAAUAAAAGCAAACAUAUAUAUGUUAAGGCCUGAUAAUAGGUUGCAAUACCCAUGCAUUGGGACUCAUACCCAGCAUAAAUGGUGAGGGACUGAACAUUAGUGCUUUGAGCAAGAAUUGGUUAACUACCUGAGAUCUCUAAAACAGUAAUUUGAAUUACUAAUAUAUAAACCACAAGUCUCUUCGAAUUGUUAAUUGCCUAAAUUUACCCUAAAAUUUAGUUAACGCUGCAGUGCCUUUAUUAAAGCUUUUUUUUGGGGGGGGCACAGCUACUCCAUAACUUUAAAUUUUAAAGCAUGAAGGUGAUCUAGCUAGUGUUAGUGCUUGAGUUGGUAGUUACAUAGGCUGCUCUUGAAUCGUCCUGUUUUCUUUGCCUAGUAUUAGCACUACAGGUACGUAUUUGUAAAAUAAGCAUUAAAAGUACUUUGUCCAGCUAACUCAUGUUGGAGUGACCUUUGUCUUACUAACCUUUGUUACUAAACUUGUUAAUUAGAAUAAGCCCUUGAGAAUUUGGAAGUGAGCUAUACUACUAAUGUAGUAUAUAUCUCGAGUGUGUUGGAGUAGAUGAAAAACCAGGGGUCCCCAAGAGUAUAUUUUUGAAAUUGAACAGAAACAAUUCAUCUUAAUAUUUAGUUUUCAUUAUGUUUAGCUUAAUAUGUGUGCUAAUUUGGCGUCACACUUAUGUCAAUCUCAAUUCAUGCAGAAAUAGCACAGUCUCAGAAAAGAGGUUAGGUGGGAAAUAGAUGAUAUGCUUACAUUAUUGAGCAGGACUAUGCUUUCACACCCUAACCAAUUGACUAAAAAUAUAAAUGAUUGAAGUAAUUUUCAUUAGUUGCCCCAGGAGUCUUUAAUAAUAGUUUUAAGGGAUAGUAGAUUGGACAUAGGUAGAUGGGUUAUUCAUAAUGGAUAUUCAUAAUGUUAACCUAGAAUUAUUCAGAAAAUAUAACACCUAUGUAGUAGAAUCUAUUGAUUGUAAGCCUAGCGUUGGUAGGCAAACAUGUUGAUGAUGGGCCAGGACAUCAGUAAUCACUACUUGGUUAGGCAAGUAAUUAGGACAGGGAUUGUAAUCAUGUCAAUUUGUAGCUACCUAAUUUUUAUUGAUUAGGAUACUUUAUUUUUCAUGCCAGGAUUCAGCAUAUACUUAGGUCUUGAGCAGGGGGCUUUGCUUUUAAAGCUGAAUCCUGGGCAUAAGAAGCUAUGUACUGUAGUUGAAAGUGAAGUAAAUGUCAAUGUAGGCUAGUCUCUAGAGAAAUGUCUUCUAUAAAGAUUCAGGGUUUUUUUGCACCAUUAUGAUCACCAUACUGUGCCAAUGACAGUUACUCAUGAGCAUGUCCAGUCUGUCUACAUUAAUGAAGGAUAAUGCAGAGAUCACAGGCUGGAGAGUUAAUCUGACAGAGAAGUGCUGCACUAUUGGGGCAUAUUCUUUCCUGCUAUUCCUUUAACAGUUCCAUUCUGAACCUUACAGGAAGUAAAAUAAGUUAUGUCUGGUAAAAUAUACGUUACAAACACUUAAAGCAUUGCCACAAAUUGGUGACAGCCAAGACAUUUUAAAAAAUUUUAAAACACCAAGAAUAGACGUGGCUAGUACAGACACCAGUUUAUAAGUGUGACAUUAAUGCUAUAAAAGUUAAAGCAUAUAUAGAGAUACCUAAAGAGUUAUUGGGGCUUAUUUAAAUGUCAACUAACAAAGAAAUUUUUUGAGGCAGCUUGUAUCCUGUAUCAGUUGUUUGUAGUUAAAGAUUGGGAGAGUCAUGGUCACGUACAAGAAAAAAAGAUUCCAACAUAACUUUUUUUUUUCUUGAAAAGUAAAGCAAACAAAUGUGUUGAUUUACAUUUCAUCUCCUUUUCCUUAGUCUGUCCAUGUGAAUGUGCUGUGUGGAAGAGUUAAAGGGCCCAACUAAAUGUUCCAGUGAUUCCAAUAGCUAUUUAGCUGGUACCUACUGCUAUAUCACCUAGUGUGACAUUUCGGAAUUAAUGGAACAAUGAAGGAAGCUGUACACUGGAGGUUCCAGGUGGUCAUGGAAGGUUUCCAGUUUAUGCAAACUUCUGUGAAAAUGAGCUUUGUUAUUGGUGAAGACAUUGGAAAUUUUACCAGCCAAGACAGAGUUUCUCUCUUAUUCAGGGUAAGAUGUAAUUGCAGUGUGCUAGCGCUGGAAGGGACCUGUUUUACAUGUUAUGUAUGUUACACGUCAGCCCUCCAUGUCCUCCAGUUCUGCAUCCUUGGAUUCAACCAACUGUGGGUUGAAAAUACUGGAGGUAAAAAGACAAAAAAUAACAAUGAAGCAACAACAACAAAAAUGCACAGUAUAAUAAUUAUAUUUACAUAGCAUUUAUUUUGUAUUAGACAUUAUAAGUAAUCUAGAGAUGAUUUAAAGUAUAUGGGAGAAUGUAUGUAGAUUAUAUGGAAAUAUGAGGGUAUUUUAUUUAAAGGGACUUGGGCCUGUGGAUACCAAGGAAUAACUAAGGUAAAACUGAGCAUAAGUGGCCUGUCCACAUUUUGUUAAAUAUCAGAUUAUUGAUUAGUGAUCAUCAACAUUUUCCCGCAUUCAUGCAGUGUGGCCUCUGAAAACAUGGUUGAACAUCCUAUGGAAUUUUUUUUUUUUUUGGAGAUGGAGUCUCA